ACGCUAGCUACAGGCUUAACACAUGCAAGUCGAGGGGAAACGGCAUUGAGUGCUUGCACUCUUUGGACGUCGACCGGCGCACGGGUGAGUAACGCGUAUCCAACCUUCCCAUUAUUGUGGGAUAACCUGCCGAAAGGCAGACUAAUACCGCAUAGUCUUCGAUGACGGCAUCAGAUUUGAAGUAAAGAUUUAUCGGUAAUGGAUGGGGAUGCGUCUGAUUAGCUUGUUGGCGGGGUAACGGCCCACCAAGGCGACGACCAGUAGGGGUUCUGAGAGGAAGGUCCCCCACAUUGGAACUGAGACACGGUCCAAACUCCUACGGGAGGCAGCAGUGAGGAAUAUUGGUCAAUGGACGGAAGUCUGAACCAGCCAAGUAGCGUGCAGGAUGACGGCCCUAUGGGUUGUAAACUGCUUUUGUAUGGGGAUAAAGUUAGGGACGUGUCCCUAUUUGCAGGUACCAUACGAAUAAGGACCGGCUAAUUCCGUGCCAGCAGCCGCGGUAAUACGGAAGGUCCAGGCGUUAUCCGGAUUUAUUGGGUUUAAAGGGAGCGUAGGCUGGAGAUUAAGUGUGUUGUGAAAUGUAGACGCUCAACGUCUGAAUUGCAGCGCAUACUGGUUUCCUUGAGUACGCACAACGUUGGCGGAAUUCGUCGUGUAGCGGUGAAAUGCUUAGAUAUGACGAAGAACUCCGAUUGCGAAGGCAGCUGACGGGAGCGCAACUGACGCUUAAGCUCGAAGGUGCGGGUAUCAAACAGGAUUAGAUACCCUGGUAGUCCGCACAGUAAACGAUGGAUGCCCGCUGUUGGUACCUGGUAUCAGCGGCUAAGCGAAAGCAUUAAGCAUCCCACCUGGGGAGUACGCCGGCAACGGUGAAACUCAAAGGAAUUGACGGGGGCCCGCACAAGCGG
rnacentral:rRNA from 1 species